rnacentral:misc_RNA from 1 species
CUCCCCACCUUGCAUUGGAGAGCACGUUAAGCCGUCGGUCUCGGUUGUUAUCAUGUACACCUGAUAGUGAUCGCGCAGCGUGAUGGAUUAAGCCAUGAUCCUUCUCCUACAUUGGAAAAGAGGCCUAUGCGCAGCAGUAUUACAGGCUAAAACGCAAAUAGUUUUCAUAAUAUUUACGAUUUCUAUUGUAAAAGAAUAAUAAGAUAAUAUUAGCGUAGAAUUAAAUAUUUUUAUGAGUGUAGACUGUUUGAUAAAAUUGUUACUUAGGCUAUGUUGUUUACUGUUCUGUUCAGUUACUGUUUUUCAUUAAACGCUCUUUGUAGACAUUUGUGUACUCUUAAAAACAAAAAAAAAAAAAACUCAAAUAAAUUAUACAACAUUAUACUAUAAGUCAAGAUGGUGUAAUACGUACCAUAAUUUACAUUUACAAUACGUCUAAUUUUUUUCUCAACAUUCGAAUCAAAACAAAAAUUUUUAGCAAAAAAGCGCUUAACAAAUUUCCAACGGAUAUGGAUAGAAUACUAUACUAUAUCUUUAAGGUAAAGAUGAGGUAAGUUUUGCA